rnacentral:rRNA from 1 species
GAUGAACGCUAGCUACAGGCUUAACACAUGCAAGUCGAGGGGCAGCAUGAAGUUUGCUUGCAAACUUUGAUGGCGACCGGCGCACGGGUGAGUAACGCGUAUCCAACCUGGCCCUUAGUAGAGAAUAGCCCGGCGAAAGUCGGAUUAAUGCUCUAUGUUCUUCUUUGAUGGCAUCUGACGAGAAGCAAAGGUUUACCGCUAAGGGAUGGGGAUGCGUCUGAUUAGGUUGUUGGCGGGGUAACGGCCCACCAAGCCAUCGAUCAGUAGGGGUUCUGAGAGGAAGGUCCCCCACAUUGGUACUGAGACACGGACCAAACUCC